CAGUCAGGUGAAAUCCAAAGAUUAGGGCCGAAUGAAUUUCUUUCAUUUGGACUGAUUUCCUUAAAUGAACUGUAACUCAGUAAAAUCUUUGACAAUUUUUCUUUGCAUUGUUGUGUCUAUAUUGUUUUUCAGUAUAUUUCAAAUUUUUGACGGAAUGACAGUAUUUAAUGGUAUUUGAUGUUUCUGAAUAACAAAAGUUGUAAACAUGUUUUAUAAGUAAUGCGCGACAAUAGAAUGGUACGAAAUGAAUUCCAGGGUUUCAUUAAAGAAUGUAAGAGGAGUGAUGCGCCCCCUUGUGGACUGGAGGAGCUAAACUAUAAUUCACAGACCUGAGAACAAAGAAGGAGGGGGGCACUGUACCAAAUGAACUCCAAUGAUCCAGAGAGGUGUCGAUCUAUACAGGGUCCUGGUCUGGAAACAGCUCCAUCUCUACUACUAUAUACAGGGUCCUGGUCUGGUCACAGCUCCAUCUCUACUACUAUAUACAGGGUCCUGGUCUGGUCACAGCUCCAUCUCUACUACUAUAUACAGGGUCCUGGUCUGGUCACAGCUCCAUCUCUACUACUAUAUACAGGGUCCUGGUCUGGUCACAGCUCCAUCUCUACUACUAUAUACAGGGUCCUGGUCUGGUCUGGUCACAGCUCCAUCUCUACUACUAUAUACAGGGUCCUGGUCUGGUCACAGCUCCAUCUCUACUACUAUAUACAGGGUCCUGGUCUGGUCACAGCUCCAUCUCUACUACUAUAUACAGGGUCCUGGUCUGGUCACAACUCCAUCUCUACUACUAUAUACAGGGUCCUGGUCUGGUCACAGCUCCAUCUCUACUACUAUAUACAGGGUCCUGGUCUGGUCUGGUCACAGCUCCAUCUCUACUACUAUAUACAGGGUCCUGGUCUGGUCACAGCUCCAUCUCUACUACUAUAUACAGGGUCCUGGUCUGGUCACAGCUCCAUCUCUACUACUAUAUACAGGGUCCUGGUCUGGUCACAGCUCCAUCUCUACUACUAUAUACAGGGUCCUGGUCUGGUCUGGUCACAGCUCCAUCUCUACUACUAUAUACAGGGUCCUGGUCUGGUCACAGCUCCAUCUCUACUACUAUAUACAGGGUCCUGGUCUGGUCACAGCUCCAUCUCUACUACUAUAUACAGGGUCCUGGUCUGGUCUGGUCACAGCUCCAUCUCUACUACUAUAUACAGGGUCCUGGUCUGGUCUGGUCACAGCUCCAUCUCUACUACUAUAUACAGGGUCCUGGUCUGGUCACAGCUCCAUCUCUACUACUAUAUACAGGGUCCUGGUCUGGUCUGGUCACAGCUCCAUCUCUACUACUAUAUACAGGGUCCUGGUCUGGUCACAGCUCCAUCUCUACUACUAUAUACAGGGUCCUGGUCUGGUCACAGCUCCAUCUCUACUACUAUAUACAGGGUCCUGGUCUGGUCACAGCUCCAUCUCUACUACUAUAUACAGGGUCCUGGUCUGGUCACAGCUCCAUCUCUACUACUAUAUACAGGGUCCUGGUCUGGUCUGGUCACAGCUCCAUCUCUACUACUAUAUACAGGGUCCUGGUCUGGUCACAGCUCCAUCUCUACUACUAUAUAAAGGGUCCACGUGUUCCUCUCUGUUCAGUGCUCCAGUAGAAAUGUCAUUUUCUACGGGGGGGGGGGGGGGCGGGGUUAGAUUAUAUCGUAAUUACAUUUCAG
rnacentral:lncRNA from 1 species